rnacentral:tRNA from 1 species
CGGGACGUAGCGCAGUUUGGUAGCGCACUUGAAUGGGGUUCAAGGGGUCGGCGGUUCGAGUCCGCCCGUCCCGA